GGUGCCCUUCCCUGGACCUUCUCCAGACCUCUUUGAUCUUGAGAUGUGGCAUCCAGAACUUCCUAGAGUGCUCCAGGUGACACUGCACCACAGUUGUGCAUAUUGAGAAGGAAGGGGAAUGGUGAUAGCACAUAGAUUGUCCUAGUCUCACUGGACAGGAAAUAUCUUCCAAGAAAGAGUUGAUGAUGUCUCCUCAGGCACAGGAAGCGGAGAGAUGGUUUGGUUCUUAGAACAGGGUG
rnacentral:lncRNA from 1 species